ensembl:lncRNA
CUCAUAGUGGCAUGCAUUCAUUAAGGCUUGGCAUAAGGCAAUGCAUAUGAUUAUCUGUGGCAUGCAUAGGGGUAAUGUAAAGGGCUUAACUUUUGGAGAUGCUGAUUCUACUAUGCGUUUCAUCUGUGCACUGUGGGACUGAGAUCUAUAAAAGAGCAGGAUUAGAAACGGUCUACUCAUUUUUGCACAGAGGAGCAUACGUUUAUGAUGCUUCCUCAUUUGCAGCGCGUGCACCUGCGGUUAGGCGGGGAGGCUGUUAGCAUCACCGCGCGCGUGCAGUCUUUUAAUUCUACUUUAUUCUUCUUCUCAUUGUUAUCAUGAUCAUUUCUUAAAAAGAAUCUGAUGUCAUUUGGCCUCGCUAGUUCUGUAUUCACGCCUCCGAUCACGCAAAGCACAGUCAAUAUUCCACGCCUUUUCCACUACAUAAACUGCAUGACGGAAUUAUUAUGCACCGCGCGUGCUGUUUACUUUAGUGCCAACUUCACUAUCAUCACCGCUUAUCUACCGAUACGUUACCGAGAAAUGACAUAAACGAUACAAAAAAUGCAUGAAAUCAGCUUUAAAAACUGUCUCCGCACUCAGCAUUUUUCCAGAAGAGAGAGAGAGAGAGAAGGAGGACAAGACAUUCCACCCUGCCAUUUAUUAGCCAAAGUGGAUUAAUGGUACACACCUGCUUUCCUGUACACAGCGUCACUGUAUUAGCUGUGCUGUUGAACGCUGGAUUCUGAUUGGUCAGAAGAUGAAAAGU